rnacentral:rRNA from 1 species
UACGUAGGGGGCAAGCGUUGUUCGGAAUUACUGGGCGUAAAGGGCGCGUAGGCGGCACGGCAAGUCGGGAGUGAAAGCCCGGGGCUCAACCCCGGAACGUCUUUCGAAACUGCCGAGCUAGAGUGCGGAAGGGGCAACUGGAAUUCCCAGUGUAGCGGUGAAAUGCGUAGAUAUUGGGAAGAACACCUGAGGCGAAGGCGGGUUGCUGGGCCGACACUGACGCUGAGGCGCGAAAGCGUGGGGAGCAAACAGG